rnacentral:rRNA from 1 species
CUGCUAAAGAGGAGGAAGGAAUGGGCAACGGUAGGUCAGCAUGCCCCGAAUUAUCCGGGCUACACGCGGGCUACAAUGGUCAGGACAAUGGGUACCGACACCGAGAGGUGGAGGCAAUCUCCUAAACCUGUCCUUAGUUCGGAUUGUGGGCUGCAACUCGCCCACAUGAAGCUGGAAUCCGUAGUAAUCGCGUUUCAAAAUAGCGCGGUGAAUAUGUCCCUGGCUCCUU